rnacentral:lncRNA from 1 species
AAAACAUGGUUAAAUCAUGAGAAGAUGAUUGAAUUUCAAAAAGGGUAAAAUUGAUUGAUUUUCCCUAUUUUUGGGCCAUAGUAGAUUUAGGUAACAAUCCGGGGGUCAAAAUGUAAUUUGUGGAAAUAUUUCAUGCAAGCUUCGAAGAAGCUUUUGCAAUCCGAGAAGCUUUCUGCAACUUCUUUCUGGGUUUUCAUGAAGAAACCAAGCUCCAAUCAAGCCCCAAACUUUCAAAUCAAGACAACGACGCUGCUCAAUCCUAUUAUCAGACUUGAAUCCUAUACUUUACAUUCCUAGGAAUCCUCAAACCCAGAUCACACAAACAAGAACCAAAAGUGUAGCCUUUAGUUCAUCAACUACACAGGUUACAUAUAUGAGAAAAACACUAUCUGUCAUGACUUCUGAAUCGAAUUCACAAUUUUAGAUACAUGUUAAACGAACAAAGGAACCAGCACCAGGCCUAUCAACAACACAACAAUCAGCACCAAACUUAACCAUAGUUCUCUAGCAUUAGCAACGACCAAAACUCAGAAAAGGAACAAAAAAUCAUGCAAAAGGGACUCUAAUCUCUAUGAAAAUUGCAUUAAACCAAUGUUGAGAAGAAUCCAUGAUUACUUGAAAGCACUAGAGCUACUAAACGAACGUGAGAUGCCCAAAGAAAUUGAGCUGUUCUGGAAAAUGGAACUCAAGAAACUCUGUUGAAGAAAAUUCAGCCUUGACAAACCUGCGAAUUCGAGCCCCAAUUUGGUUGCCUUGGAGGUGUUUUCAUUCAAUGAUUACUAAACGAAAGUUAUUCCCAGAUAUCCAUAGAAGGUGUAGAAAGAAAAAUCUCCUAAAAAAAAGCACUAUCGAGACCAGAAAUGAGCAAGAAAUAAGACAGAUUCGUCAGCCUGAAUAGGGUUUUGCAUAAGAACAAUUUCUGUACUUUUCUCUUUCUCUCUCGUUUUCUCCUUCUUUUGCUUUCCUUUUUCCCCUCAUUUUUCUUUUUGUUUUCCUCCCUGAUUCCCUUGAUUCUCCCCUCUUUCUCUUCUCCCUUUCUUUCUCUCUUUCCUCCUCUCUUUCUUGUUCCCAAAACCCCUUUCCUCUCUUUUCCUUUUUCUUCUUCCCUAGUUUCUUUCUCCCCUUCUUUUCCACAGUCUCAUUCUCCUUUUUCUUGUUCUCCCCCAGAUUCUCUCUUGUUUCCCGUUCUCAAUUUUUUCCUUUUCUUUCCUACCCCCCAAAAGCUCUCACCCGAAAACCUUUUCUUUCUUUUCUUCCCUCUUCCUACCCGCAGCUUCCUUCCUUCCUUCCCUUUUUUUUGUUUUCCAGAUUUUUCCCUAUCUUCCAUCUGUCUUGCCACCUAUCCUUUGAAUGGUAUGUGCAAAAUGCCA